GGACUUAACACGGCUGGCCUUUCAGAGCAGAGGGUCUCCCCCACAGCAGGCCCUCACUGAAGAAGUGCUAAUUCGACUUCCUGAGUUCCAGCCUUAGCCUCCUGCGAGGUCAACGGACUCAGGGUGAAGAAGCCCCAGUGGAUACAGAGAGCAUAUUCCUGAUUAGGGAGCUUUACAAGCGGCCUGCAAAAGAAAAGGCAAAACUCCCAGCCUCUGUUUCAGAGAAGACAUCUCCGUCCAUCGUUUGGGGCUGAAUAAGCUACCUUCCUGGAUCACUUUUCUGAACAGCCGUGCCUUGGAAGGGGGCCUGAGCUGGAC
rnacentral:lncRNA from 1 species